rnacentral:rRNA from 1 species
CCAAUAGCGUAUAUUAAAGUUGUUGCAGUUAAAAAGCUCGUAGUUGAAUUUCGGGGUCAGUAGGUUGGUCGUGCCACAGGUAUGAACUGGCCUCACUGAUUCCUCCUUCCUGAUGAACCGUAAUGCCAUUAAUUUGGUGUUGCGGGGAGACUGGACUGUUACUUUGAAAAAAUUAGAGUGUUUAAAGCAGGCUAACGCUUGAAUACAUUAGCAUGGAAUAAUGAAAUAGGACGUUCGGUCUUAUUUUGUUGGUUUCUAAGAUUGACGUAAUGAUUAAUAGGGAUAGUUGGGGGCAUUAGUAUUCAAUUGUCAGAGGUGAAAUUCUUGGAUUUAUUGAAGACUAACUACUGCGAAAGCAUUUGCCAAGGAUGUUUUCAUUAAUCAAGAACGAAAGUUAGGGGAUCGAAGACGAUCAGAUACCGUCGUAGUCUUAACCAUAAACUAUGCCGACUAGGGAUCGGAUGAUGUUAAUUUUUUAAUGACUCACUCGGCGCCUUACG